GCAGAACGCGAAGAACCUUACCUACCCUUGACAUGUCUGGAAUCCCGAAGAGAUUUGGGAGUGCUCGCAAGAGAACCGGAACACAGGUGCUGCAUGGCUGUCGUCAGCUCGUGUCGUGAGAUGUUGGGUUAAGUCCCGCAACGAGCGCAACCCUUGUCAUUAGUUGCUACGAAAGGGCACUCUAAUGAGACUGCCGGUGACAAACCGGAGGAAGGUGGGGAUGACGUCAAGUCCUCAUGGCCCUUAUGGGUAGGGCUUCACACGUCAUACAAUGGUCGGGACAGAGGGUUGCCAACCCGCGAGGGGGAGCUAAUCUCAGAAACCCGAUCGUAGUCCGGAUUGCAGUCUGCAACUCGACUGCAUGAAGUCGGAAUCGCUAGUAAUCGCGGAUCAGAAUGUCGCGGUGAAUACGUUCCCGGGUCUUGUACACACCG
rnacentral:rRNA from 1 species